rnacentral:rRNA from 1 species
GCCUACGGGGCGCAGCAGUGAUUAAUAUUGGUCAAUGGGCGCAGGCCUGAACCAGCCAAUUCGCGUUAUUGAAGACUUCCCUAUGGGUUGUAAACCUCUUUUAUAAGGGAAUAAUAAUGACUACGUGUAGUCAGAUGCCCGUACCUUAUGAAUAAGCAUCGGCUAACUCCAUGCCAGCAGCCGCGGUAAUACGGAGGAUGCGAGCGUUAUCCGGAUUUAUUGGGUUUAAAGGGUGCGUAUGCGUUAUUUUAAUUUAGUGGUAAAACGUCGGGGCUUCACCUUGAUUGGCCAUUAAAACUGAAGUA